rnacentral:rRNA from 1 species
UACCUUUUGUAUAAUGGGUCAGCGACUUAUAUUCUGUAGCAAGGUUAACCGAAUAGGGGAGCCGGAGGGAAACCGAGUCUUAAUUGGGCGUUAAGUUGCAGGGUAUAGACCCGAAACCCGGUGAUCUAGCCAUGGGCAGGUUGAAGGUUGGGUAACACUAACUGGAGGACCGAACCGACUAAUGUUGAAAAAUUAGCGGAUGACCUGUGGCUGGGGGUGAAAGGCCAAUCAAACCGGGAGAUAGCUGGUUCUCCCCGAAAGCUAUUUAGGUAGCGCCUCGUGAAUUCAUCUCCGGGGGUAGAGCACUGUUUCGGCUAGGGGGCCAUCCCGGCUUACCAACCCGAUGCAAACUGCGAAUACCGGAGAAUGUUAUCACGGGAGACACACGGCGGGUGCUAACGUCCGUCGUGAAGAGGGAAACAACCCAGACCGCCAGCUAAGGUCCCAAAGUCAUGGUUAAGUGGGAAACGAUGUGGGAAGGCCCAGACAGCCAGGAUGUUGGCUUAGAAGCAGCCAUCAUUUAAAGAAAGCGUAAUAGCUCACUGGUCGAGUCGGCCUGCGCGGAAGAUGUAACGGGGCUAAACCAUGCACCGAAGCUGCGGCAGCGACACUAUGUGUUGUUGGGUAGGGGAGCGUUCUGUAAGCCUGCGAAGGUGGCCUGUGAGGGUUGCUGGAGGUAUCAGAAGUGCGAAUGCUGACAUAAGUAACGAUAAAGCGGGUGAAAAGCCCGCUCGCCGGAAGACCAAGGGUUCCUGUCCAACGUUAAUCGGGGCAGGGUGAGUCGACCCCUAAGGCGAGGCCGAAAGGCGUAGUCGAUGGGAAACGGGUUAAUAUUCCCGUACUUGGUGUUACUGCGAAGGGGGGACGGAGAAGGCUAUGUUGGCCGGGCGACGGUUGUCCCGGUUUAAGCGUGUAGGUGUGUGUUCCAGGUAAAUCCGGUU